UACGGGGGGGGCAAGCGUUGUUCGGAAUUAUUGGGCGUAAAGCGCGCGCAGGCGGUUUCUUAAGUCUGAUGUGAAAGCCCACGGCUCAACCGUGGAGGGUCAUUGGAAACUGGGGAACUUGAGUGCAGAAGAGAAAAGCGGAAUUCCACGUGUAGCGGUGAAAUGCGUAGAGAUGUGGAGGAACACCAGUGGCGAAGGCGGCUUUUUGGUCUGUAACUGACGCUGAGGCGCGAAAGCGUGGGGAGCAAACAGG
rnacentral:rRNA from 1 species